GUUCAGCAUCUCCAGAGAUGAGCUUUCCAAAUACCUGAUGAAGAUAUGCAUGUGAGAAGGAAUUAAUGACAGGCAUUAACACUAUAUUGGCCAGAGGACUCAUUAGCUGAUUCCGCAGGAUAUGUGGAUACAAAAUUACCUCAGGGCCAUUUGCUGUAAUGAACUGCCGCUGGGGAGAGACAUCAUAAGGUCUGAGAUGGUCUGCAGCAAGCGGUGAAAGGUGUGUGGUAAAGGAUGAGCAGCUUCCCCGGCAAUCACUAUGUCUGAGAGUGGAUGUUCACAUACUCUUGUAUCUUUCUCCUAAGGCAGAAAUUGAAACAAGUUUAUCAGUUUGUGUGCUGGAAGGAAUCGUCUUCACAAAAGACAAUUAUCUUACCAAACCAUUCUCUAAGAAGCUGCUACUCCACAGCAAAGAAUGUUUGUUCUUCCAUCUUGCUACCAAUG